rnacentral:rRNA from 1 species
GUUGGGAAUAUUGGACAAUGGGGUAACCCCUGAUCCAGCAAUCCCGCGUGAGUGAUGAAGGCCUUCGGGUCGUAAAACUCUUUUAGGGGGGACGAUAAUGACGGUACCCCCAGAAAAAGCACCGGCUAACUCUGUGCCAGCAGCCGCGGUAAUACAGAGGGUGCAAGCGUUGUUCGGAAUUAUUGGGCGUAAAGCGAGUGUAGGCGGUUACCUCAGUCUGAUGUGAAAGCCCAGGGCUCAACCCUGGAAGUGCAUUGGAUACUGGGUAACUAGAGGGCGAUAGAGGAGAUCGGAAUUAAUGGUGUAGGGGUGAAAUCCGUAGAUAUCAUUAGGAACACCGAAAGCGAAGGCUGAUCUCUGGGUCGCAUCUGACGCUAAGACUCGAAAGCAUGGGUAGCAAACAGGAUUAGAUACCCCAGUAGUCC